GACGAACGCUGGCGGCGUGCUUAACACAUGCAAGUCGAACGGUGAAGCUCCAGCUUGCUGGAGUGGAUCAGUGGCGAACGGGUGAGUAACACGUGAGCAACCUGCCCCUGACUCUGGAAUAAGCGCUGGAAACGGCGUCUAAUACUGGAUACGAGAAGGGUCCGCAUGGGCACUUUCUGGAAAGUUUUUCGGUUGGGGAUGGGCUCGCGGCCUAUCAGCUUGUUGGUGAGGUAAUGGCUCACCAAGGCGACGACGGGUAGCCGGCCUGAGAGGGCGACCGGCCACACUGGGACUGAGACACGGCCCAGACUCCUACGGGAGGCAGCAGUGGGGAAUAUUGCACAAUGGGCGAAAGCCUGAUGCAGCGACGCCGCGCGAGGGAUGACGGCCUUCGGGUUGUAAACCUCUUUCAGCAGGGAAGAAGCAAAAGUGACGGUACCUGCAGAAGAAGCACCGGCUAGCUACGUG
rnacentral:rRNA from 1 species